AUGAUCCAGUAUGCCCAUAAGAGAAAACUGCCAGUCAUUGCUUUAAAGUUGGACUUUCAUAAGGCCUUUGACAGCGUCAGUUGGUGUUGCUUGCGCAAGAUUUUUGAAGCGAGAGGCUUUCCGCGAGUGUGGACAAACUGGAUACACACACUCCUAUCUACUGGCAGCUCUAGAGUCCUUCUCAACGGCGAGUUGGGUGCCCCCAUC
rnacentral:rRNA from 1 species